rnacentral:rRNA from 1 species
CGGACGGGGGAGUAAUGUCUGGGAAACUGCCUGAUGGAAGGGGAUAACUACUGGAAACGGUAGCUAAUACCGCAUAACGUCGCAAGACCAAAGAGGGGGACCUUCGGGCCUCUUGCCAUCGGAUGUGCCCAGAUGGGAUUAGCUAGUAGGUGGGGUAACGGCUCACCUAGGCGACGAUCCCUAGCUGGUCUGAGAGGAUGACCAGCCACACUGGAACUGAGACACGGUCCAG